rnacentral:snoRNA from 1 species
ACGCACCAUUUAAAAAAUAUAUUUCAAGAUGUGGCAGCAGCUAAGGGAACCAGGUUUGCUAAAGUAAUUGUGGUGGUAAGAAUUACCAGCCUCUGAAGAUCCUAAGGCUCAUUUCAUCCUAGUACAGUG